AAACAUCGCCUUUUGACACCCAUAAAAGGUCCAGCCUGCCCAGUGACUUUUGUUCAACGGCCGCGGUAUCCUAACCGUGCAAAGGUAGCGUAAUCACUUGUUUUUUAAAUAAAGACUAGUAUGAAAGGCAUCACGAGGAUAAAACUGUCUCCUUUUUUCAAUCAGUGAAACUAAUCUUCCCGUGAAGAAGCGGGAAUACUCUAAUAAGACGAAAAGACCCUAUGGAGCUUUAAACAUUAUAGCACCUGUCACCCCAUCUCUACCCCCACCUCAGACACCUUUGACUAUAAGUUUUCGGUUGGGGCGACCACGGAGCAAAAUAAACCCUCCGAGUUGAUUACACCCUCCAAGCCCAGAGCUACAGCUCCAAGCAUUAAUAAAUUAACAUCAAUUGACCCAGUAUUCUGACCAACGAACCAAGUUACCCUAGGGAUAACAGCGCAAUCCACUUCAAGAGUCCUUAUCGACAAGUGGGUUUACGACCUCGAUGUUGGAUCAGGAUUUCCUAGUGGUGUAGCCGCUACUUCAGGUUCGUUUGUUCAACGAUUAAAAUCCUACGUGAUC
rnacentral:rRNA from 1 species